rnacentral:rRNA from 1 species
GAAGACGACGAGGUAGAUAGGACAGAGGUGGAAGUAUGGCAACAUAUGGAGCUGACUGUUACUAAUAGGUCGAGGGCAUAACCAA